UCGAUGAAUGGAUCAUAACAUAUUCCGAAGCGGUUUCACGAUGUAACUCGAUCGGUGGGACACUCUUCGUUCCCAAUAGUAACGAUGAGCUUCAUGCUGUCACCAGUACAUACCAAGGCUAUGAGGGAAGCUUCUGGGUCGGAUGUACGUAUAAACCUAUGGAGGGUACCUACCCAUGUGAAGACGGGACUAAGUUAGAUAUCAAUAGUAGUUGGUGGUGGGCAGACAUCGAAAUUCCCGCCAGUAGCACCUACAACUGCGUCACCUUAUCUCACUACUUCUCCAGUUUGUUCCACGUUCUUUGUGAUCAAUCUUAUAGAAAUCUUUGCGAAGUUAAACCGACAACCACCAUCCAAUCUCCAGGCUUCUUCUCCCUUGCUAAGGACAACAAAGGACGCCCUCUGAUUGGCCACUGUCUAACUGAUCACGUGAUAAAGACAGUGCUAGCGAAAA